rnacentral:ncRNA from 2 species
GUCACAAGCACGGGGAGCCCGAGAAAUAUCGGGCUGAGAGGGUGGUAGCCACCACCGACCCGCAGACCUGAUCUGGGUAAUGCCAGCGGAGGGAGCAAUAUGACAACGGUU